rnacentral:rRNA from 1 species
UACGUAGGGGGCUAGCGUUGUCCGGAAUCAUUGGGCGUAAAAGCGCGCGUAGGCGGCCAGAUAAGUCCGGUGUGAAAGUCACAGGCUCAACCUUUGAAUGUCAGUGGAUACUGCCGGGCUAGAGUCCGGAAGAGGCGAGUGGAACUCCCUGGUGUAGCGGUGGAAUGCGCAGAUAUCAGGAAGAACACCGACGGCGAAGGCAGCUCGCUGGGACGGUACUGACGCUGAGGCGCGAAAGCGUGGGGAGCGAACAGG